rnacentral:rRNA from 1 species
UGAGUGAUCUGCCCCCGAGCCUGGAAUAACAUUCCGAAAGGAGUGCUAAUGCCGGAUGAGACCACGUCGACUUCGGUCGAUGUGAGAAAAGGCGGGGUUCGAAAGAACCUGUCACUUGGGGAUGAGCUCGCGGCCUAUCAGCUAGUUGGCGGGGUAAUGGCCCACCAAGGCGAAGACGGGUAGCUGGUUUGAGAGGAUGAUCAGCCACACUGGAA